AGGAUGCAAGCGUUAUCCGGAUUCAUUGGGUUUAAAGGGAGCGUAGGUGGCCUUAUAAGUCAGUGGUGAAAUCUCUGGGCUUAACCCAGAAAUUGCCAUUGAUACUGUAGGGCUUGAGUAUAGUUGCCGUUGGCGGAAUAUGACAUGUAGUGGUGAAAUACAUAGAGAUGUCAUAGAACACCGAUUGCGAAGGCAGCUGACGAAACUAUAACUGACACUGAGGCUCGAAAGUGCGGGGAUCAAACAGG
rnacentral:rRNA from 1 species